UUCCUACGGAGGCAGCAGUGGGGAAUAUUGCACAAUGGGCGAAAGCCUGAUGCAGCGACGCCGCGUGAGGGAUGACGGCCUUCGGGUUGUAAACCUCUUUCAGCAGGGAAGAAGCGAGAGUGACGGUACCUGCAGAAGAAGCGCCGGCUAACUACGUGCCAGCAGCCGCGGUAAUACGUAGGGCGCAAGCGUUGUCCGGAAUUAUUGGGCGUAAAGAGCUCGUAGGCGGCUUGUCGCGUCGGUUGUGAAAGCCCGGGGCUUAACCCCGGGUCUGCAGUCGAUACGGGCAGGCUAGAGUUCGGUAGGGGAGAUCGGAAUUCCUGGUGUAGCGGUGAAAUGCGCAGAUAUCAGGAGGAACACCGGUGGCGAAGGCGGAUCUCUGGGCCGAUACUGACGCUGAGGAGCGAAAGCGUGGGGAGCGAACAGGAUUAGAUACCCUGGUAGUCCCCGCCGUAAACGGUGGGCACUAGGUGUGGGCAACAUUGCCACGUCGUCCGGGCCGCAGCUAACGCAUUAAGACUCCUCGUG
rnacentral:rRNA from 1 species